rnacentral:lncRNA from 1 species
GAUGUUUAAGAAGGCAUGCACUAGACUGGGUGAGUUUGCUGUCUGUACAUCGGCGCCCUCCGAUCUGGGGUGCGCGCCCCAGCUUGGGACACCGGGCGCUCAUUCUAGGACUUCAGGCUGGAGGCACAUUAAGGCUGCCCCCUCGCUUUGCAGACUGGCCCCAGAGAUGCUAAGUGACUUGCUAAUGGUGCCCCAGCCAGUUAACUGCUCGGACCUGCAUUUUUCAUUCGAGAAAACGGAAACCCAGAAGAUUAAGAUCUUUGAAUGCUACCUAGCAGAAGGAGAACUUCUGUUUAUAACUACAGCUUGGGAAUUCCCUGCAGGGUUUCUCCAUUCUCUGGGAAAAAGUGUUUGGAAAGUUCUGUGCCAAGAAGUUCCUCCCUAUGUCCUUGCUGUUUAGGCUUUUGAUAAUCUUUAUUGUGGAGGCCAUGCCUAAACUAAGAAAAUGCAAUACUCUCCAUGGACCUA